GGCCCAGUCACUUGGAAGUACAGCUUGCAUUUCCUUUGUUUCAAAUUCGCCUUUGACGUUCAGAUAUAUGAACUCAGAUGCGAAUAUCUGUGACACACAUCUCUUAAUUAACUCCUACCAGAAUUAAUAAAUGAAUCUGAAAAUACAAAUUUAAUAAUGCUCUUAUCAAAUGAUUCUGUUUUAGACGAAAGACAUAUGAGGAUUUAAGAGAGUCAGAGGUCAACCUUUAGGCACAAAGUCUAUGUCACAAUCUGAGAUU
rnacentral:lncRNA from 1 species